rnacentral:sRNA from 1 species
CGGUGGGGCGGAUGCGUUUUGCGACGGCGGCGACGGUGGCGGGGGUGAGAUAUAGUAGGAGUAUGUGAGGGAGCGCGAGGUUGUGAAGGUCUUUUGCAUGAGGGGGUCCAUCUUCGCUUUGCUUCGCCGUUGCUGCUUCGUUAUUUAUACUAUCUGUUUAUAGAGCUGGCGUAAUGGAAAUCGAGGUAGAGUUGGAUUUGUAGCACAGACUAGGUGAACGCCUAUGCCUUCUUGACAGCGAAGGUGUUUGUGCAUUUAUUUAUACCCCCUCCAUGAUGCGAGGGUUCAGGAGUAGCGGGGCCCCAAUGAAACAACCGUCCCUUACGGUGCAUUUCUGCCUCCACCCAUGGUUUGACUCAGCUCGCCCUCUCCGCGGGGUGAUCGCCACCAUGCUAAGAGCCAGCGUUGUUGUCUAGCCCAAAAAUAACCAGGACAAUGGACAAUGCCCCGGGCGAUGUCUCAUUCCUCCAUGCUCUAUAUACCCCGCCACCUCCUCACCCUCGCAUCUCCGAUUCAAUGUCUCCCCGCACCGCCCAAUCGACAACCAAUCGACAACCGUCCGACAAUCACCUUACGAGAUAAAGCAAUGUGCAUGGUAUCCGCGAAACUCCCCUGACAUCGCUGCAGUUGCAUAUGAGAAAUAAUGUACGGCGGGGUGGGGGGGGGGUUAGCAAAGGCAUGCAAGGCGACGGCGAUUAGUCGCAAGGUCUUAUCUCCGCAGUAUAGUACGAUCUAGCCAGCUGGCCCAUGGCCGUUUUGGAGUCUACCAUGGUGAUCAGCUAUUCAGGUUAUCGAGUCGGUGACUAUUCGCGAGAGGGAGGAAGGGCGGUCUGAAUUAUGUACUAUGUGUGGACUCUGCCUGUGAAGCAGAGGGCUAAAGGGAGACUCACUUAAAUAAUAUCAUCUUCAUUAGCUAGCAAUAUUAUUCUUUUUGCUUCGAAAGCCAGCAGUCGAUAUGUAUGGGUCAAAUUGUCUUCAAUAGAGGCUGACAACGCUAGGCUAACGGCCGUAGGCGAACAGGUGAAGCUUUUAUCUACUAUUUUUUCCAUUACUUGGUAUAUCUCUCCGAAGGAGUCACAGCUGCUGACCCCGUCUGAGAGCUGGAGAAAAAGAGGGGAAGAGAAGCAGAGCUGAAAACUGAAUCCUAGUGAUUGUGUCAGUUUAAUUCCUGUCAAAGCAAUCAUUGACCAAUCUGGUGGCUCUUUCUUCCUCCUCGCUUUCUUUUACUCUCCUUUGGUGCGUGUUUAGUGCUUUUCUAGUCUCCGUUGGAUCUGCAAACGCAGAAUUCAGUUGGUUAUUCUUCUUGCAGAUGGUCUGAUAUAUUUUUUUUCUGAUAAGAGAUUGUUGGAAGGGUAGAAUGUCCGAAUAUUGACCCAAAUACCGAAUAUCGAAUGAAUAAUGAAUUAACUAA